GGGCCUGCGGGGAUGGCUCA
rnacentral:misc_RNA from 1 species